GAGUUUGAUCCUGGCUCAGGAUGAACGCUGGCGGUAUGCUUUACACAUGCAAGUCGUACGAGAGUUUUUAACUCAAGUGGCGGACGGGUGAGUAACGCGUAAGAAUUUACCUUUAGGAGGGGGAUAACAACUGGAAACGGUUGCUAAUACCCCAUAUGCUUUCGAGUGAAAUGGAGUUUUCCGCCUAAAGAGAAGCUUGCGGCUGAUUAGCUUGUUGGUGAGGUAACGGCUUACCAAGGCGACGAUCAGUAUCUGGUUUGAGAGGACGAUCAGACACACUGGAACUGAGACACGGUCCAGACUCCUACGGGAGGCAGCAGUGGGGAAUUUUCCGCAAUGGGCGAAAGCCUGACGGAGCAAUACCGCGUGAGGGAUGACGGCCUAUGGGUUGUAAACCUCUUUUUUCAGGGAGGAAUCAAUGACGUGUACCUGAAGAAUAAGCAUCGGCUAACUCCGUGCCAGCAGCCGCGGUAAGACGGAGGAUGCAAGUGUUAUCCGGAAUCACUGGGCGUAAAGCGUCUGUAGGUGGUUUAAUAAGUCAACUGUUAAAUCUUGAGGCUCAACUUCAAAAUCGCAGUCGAAACUAUUAGACUAGAGUAUAGUAGGGGUAAAGGGAAUUUCCAGUGGAGCGGUGAAAUGCGUAGAGAUCGGAAAGAACACCGAUGGCGAAAGCACUUUACUGGGCUAUUAC
rnacentral:rRNA from 1 species